AUUGAACGCUGGCGGCAGGCCUAACACAUGCAAGUCGCACGAGUGGCUGCCGGGUGAGUAAUGUCUGGGAAACUGCCUGAUGGAGGGGGAUCACUACUGGAAACGGUAGCUAAUACCGCAUACCAUCAGCGGUGCCCAGAUGGGAUUGGCUAGUUGGUGGGGUAACGGCGCACCAAGGCGACGAUCCCUAGCUGGCCUGAGAGGAUGACCAGCCAAAGUGGAAAUGAGACACGGUCCAGACUCCUACGGGAGGCAGCAGUGGGGAAUAUUGCACAAUGGGCGCAAGCCGGAUGCAGCCAUGCCGCGUGGAUGAAGAAGGCCGUCGGGUUGUAAAGUACUUUCAGCGGGGAGGCGUUACCCGCAGAAGAAGCACCGGCUAACUCCGUGCCAGCAGCCGCGGUAAUUC
rnacentral:rRNA from 1 species